AGUGAACGCUGGCGGCGUGCUUAAGACAUGCAAGUCGAACGGCAGUCUUCGGACUGUAGUGGCGCACGGGUGAGUAACGCGUAACUGACCUACCCCAAAGUCGCGGAUAACGAUUCGAAAGAAUCGCUAAUACGUGAUGUGCUGUCAGAUUGUGUUCUGCAAGUGAAGAUUGAUUUCUUUGGGAUGGGGUUGCGUUCCAUCAGCUAGUUGGUGGGGUAAAGGCCCACUAAGGCGACGACGGAGAGCCGGCCUGAGAGGGUGGCCGGCCACAGGGGCACUGAGACACGAGUCCCACUCCUACGGGAGGCAGCAGUUAGGAAUCUUCCACAAUGGGCGAAAGCCUGAUGGAGCGACGCCGCGUGAGGGAUGAAGGUCUUCGGAUCGUAAACCUCUGAAUCAGGGACGAAAGACACUUCGGUGGGAUGACGGUACCUGAGUAAUAGCACCGGCUAACUCCGUGCCAGCCGCCGCCGUAAAAC
rnacentral:rRNA from 1 species